GAGUUUGAUCCUGGCUCAGAACGUACGCUGGCGGCACGCCUAACACAUGCAAGUCGAACGAAGUAGCAAUACUUAGUGGCAGACGGGUGAGUAACAUGUAGGUAUCUACCCUUUGGCCUGGAAUAACACGAGGAAACUUGUGCUAAUACCGGAUAAGUCUUUACGGAGAAAGCUUUAUGCACCAUUGGAUGAGCCUGCACUUGAUUAGUUUGUUGGUGGGGUAAUGGCCUACCAAGACUGUGAUCAAUAGCUGAUUUGAGAGGAUGAUCAGCCACAUUGGGACUGAGACACGGCCCAAACUCCUACGGGAGGCAGCAGUGGGGAAUCUUGCACAAUGGAGGAAACUCUGAUGCAGCGAUGCCGCGUGAGUGAAGAAGGCCCUUGGGUUGUAAAGCUCUUUCGUCGGGGAAGAAAAUGACUGUACCCGAAUAAGAAGGUCCGGCUAACUUCGUGCCAGCAGCCGCGGUAAUACGAAGGGACCUAGCGUAGUUCGGAAUUACUGGGCUUAAAGAGUUCGUAGGUGGUUGAAAAAGUUGGUGGUGAAAUCCCAGAGCUUAACUCUGGAACUGCCAUCAAAACUUUUCAGCUAGAGUUUGAUAGAGGAAAGCAGAAUUUCUAGUGUAGAGGUGAAAUUCGUAGAUAUUAGAAAGAAUACCAAUUGCGAAGGCAGCUUUCUGGAUCAUUACUGACACUGAGGAACGAAAGCAUGGGUAGCGAAGAGGAUUAGAUACCCUCGUAGUCCAUGCCGUAAACGAUGUGUGUUAGACGUUGGAAAUUUAUUUUCAGUGUCGCAGCGAAAGCGAUAAACACACCGCCUGGGGAGUACGACCGCAAGGUUAAAACUCAAAUGAAUUGACGGGGACCCGCACAAGUAGUGGAGCAUGUGGUUUAAUUCGAAGAUACGCGCAGAACCUUACCAACACUUGACAUGUUCGUCGCGACUUUAAGAGAUUAAAGUUUUCGGUUCGGCCGGACGAAACACAGGUGCUGCAUGGCUGUCGUCAGCUCGUGUCGUGAGAUGUUGGGUUAAGUCCCGCAACGAGCGCAACCCUCACUUUUAGUUGCCAUCAUUAAGUUGGGCACUCUGAAAGAACUGCCAGUGAUAAGCUGGAGGAAGGUGGGGAUGACGUCAAGUCCUCAUGGCCCUUACGUGUUGGGCUACACACGUGCUGCAAUGGUAUCUACAACAGGAAGCAAAACGGCGACGUUAAGCAAAUCCUUAAAGGAUACCUCAGUUCGGAUUGCACUCUGCAACUCGAGUGCAUGAAGCUGGAAUUACUAGUAAUCGUGGAUCAGCGUGCCACGGUGAAUGCGUUCCCGGGUCUUGUACACACCGCCCGUCACACCAUGGGAGUUGGUUCUACCUUAAGGCAAGGUUUAAAAUCCUUGACCACGGUAUAGUCAGCGACUGGGGUGAAGUCGUAACAAGGUAACC
rnacentral:rRNA from 1 species